GGUUAAGCGACUAAGCGUACACGGUGGAUGCCCUGGCAGUCAGAGGCGAUGAAGGACGUGCUAAUCUGCGAUAAGCGUCGGUAAGGUGAUAUGAACCGUUAUAACCGGCGAUUUCCGAAUGGGGAAACCCAGUGUGAUUCGUCACACUAUCAUUAACUGAAUCCAUAGGUUAAUGAGGCGAACCGGGGGAACUGAAACAUCUAAGUACCCCGAGGAAAAGAAAUCAACCGAGAUUCCCCCAGUAGCGGCGAGCGAACGGGGAGCAGCCCAGAGCCUGAAUCAGUGUGUGUGUUAGUGGAAGCGUCUGGAAAGGCGCGCGAUACAGGGUGACAGCCCCGUACACAAAAAUGCACAUGCUGUGAGCUCGAUGAGUAGGGCGGGACACGUGGUAUCCUGUCUGAAUAUGGGGGGACCAUCCUCCAAGGCUAAAUACUCCUGACUGACCGAUAGUGAACCAGUACCGUGAGGGAAAGGCGAAAAGAACCCCGGCGAGGGGAGUGAAAAAGAACCUGAAACCGUGUACGUACAAGCAGUGGGAGCCUCUUUUAUGGGGUGACUGCGUACCUUUUGUAUAAUGGGUCAGCGACUUAUAUUCUGUAGCAAGGUUAACCGAAUAGGGGAGCCGAAGGGAAACCGAGUCUUAACUGGGCGUUAAGUUGCAGGGUAUAGACCCGAAACCCGGUGAUCUAGCCAUGGGCAGGUUGAAGGUUGGGUAACACUAACUGGAGGACCGAACCGACUAAUGUUGAAAAAUUAGCGGAUGACUUGUGGCUGGGGGUGAAAGGCCAAUCAAACCGGGAGAUAGCUGGUUCUCCCCGAAAGCUAUUUAGGUAGCGCCUCGUGAAUUCAUCUCCGGGGGUAGAGCACUGUUUCGGCAAGGGGGUCAUCCCGACUUACCAACCCGAUGCAAACUGCGAAUACCGGAGAAUGUUAUCACGGGAGACACACGGCGGGUGCUAACGUCCGUCGUGAAGAGGGAAACAACCCAGACCGCCAGCUAAGGUCCCAAAGUCAUGGUUAAGUGGGAAACGAUGUGGGAAGGCCCAGACAGCCAGGAUGUUGGCUUAGAAGCAGCCAUCAUUUAAAGAAAGCGUAAUAGCUCACUGGUCGAGUCGGCCUGCGCGGAAGAUGUAACGGGGCUAAACCAUGCACCGAAGCUGCGGCAGCGACACUAUGUGUUGUUGGGUAGGGGAGCGUUCUGUAAGCCUGUGAAGGUGUGCUGUGAGGCAUGCUGGAGGUAUCAGAAGUGCGAAUGCUGACAUAAGUAACGAUAAAGCGGGUGAAAAGCCCGCUCGCCGGAAGACCAAGGGUUCCUGUCCAACGUUAAUCGGGGCAGGGUGAGUCGACCCCUAAGGCGAGGCCGAAAGGCGUAGUCGAUGGGAAACAGGUUAAUAUUCCUGUACUUGGUGUUACUGCGAAGGGGGGACGGAGAAGGCUAUGUUGGCCGGGCGACGGUUGUCCCGGUUUAAGCGUGUAGGCUGGUUUUCCAGGCAAAUCCGGAAAAUCAAGGCUGAGGCGUGAUGACGAGGCACUACGGUGCUGAAGCAACAAAUGCCCUGCUUCCAGGAAAAGCCUCUAAGCAUCAGGUAACAUCAAAUCGUACCCCAAACCGACACAGGUGGUCAGGUAGAGAAUACCAAGGCGCUUGAGAGAACUCGGGUGAAGGAACUAGGCAAAAUGGUGCCGUAACUUCGGGAGAAGGCACGCUGAUAUGUAGGUGAAGCGACUUGCUCGUGGAGCUGAAAUCAGUCGAAGAUACCAGCUGGCUGCAACUGUUUAUUAAAAACACAGCACUGUGCAAACACGAAAGUGGACGUAUACGGUGUGACGCCUGCCCGGUGCCGGAAGGUUAAUUGAUGGGGUCAGCGCAAGCGAAGCUCUUGAUCGAAGCCCCGGUAAACGGCGGCCGUAACUAUAACGGUCCUAAGGUAGCGAAAUUCCUUGUCGGGUAAGUUCCGACCUGCACGAAUGGCGUAAUGAUGGCCAGGCUGUCUCCACCCGAGACUCAGUGAAAUUGAACUCGCUGUGAAGAUGCAGUGUACCCGCGGCAAGACGGAAAGACCCCGUGAACCUUUACUAUAGCUUGACACUGAACAUUGAGCCUUGAUGUGUAGGAUAGGUGGGAGGCUUAGAAGUGUGGACGCCAGUCUGCAUGGAGCCGACCUUGAAAUACCACCCUUUAAUGUUUGAUGUUCUAACGUUGACCCGUGAUCCGGGUUGCGGACAGUGUCUGGUGGGUAGUUUGACUGGGGCGGUCUCCUCCUAAAGAGUAACGGAGGAGCACGAAGGUUGGCUAAUCCUGGUCGGACAUCAGGAGGUUAGUGCAAUGGCAUAAGCCAGCUUGACUGCGAGCGUGACGGCGCGAGCAGGUGCGAAAGCAGGUCAUAGUGAUCCGGUGGUUCUGAAUGGAAGGGCCAUCGCUCAACGGAUAAAAGGUACUCCGGGGAUAACAGGCUGAUACCGCCCAAGAGUUCAUAUCGACGGCGGUGUUUGGCACCUCGAUGUCGGCUCAUCACAUCCUGGGGCUGAAGUAGGUCCCAAGGGUAUGGCUGUUCGCCAUUUAAAGUGGUACGCGAGCUGGGUUUAGAACGUCGUGAGACAGUUCGGUCCCUAUCUGCCGUGGGCGCUGGAGAACUGAGGGGGGCUGCUCCUAGUACGAGAGGACCGGAGUGGACGCAUCACUGGUGUUCGGGUUGUCAUGCCAAUGGCACUGCCCGGUAGCUAAAUGCGGAAGAGAUAAGUGCUGAAAGCAUCUAAGCACGAAACUUGCCCCGAGAUGAGUUCUCCCUGACUCCUUGAGAGUCCUGAAGGAACGUUGAAGACGACGACGUUGAUAGGCCGGGUGUGUAAGCGCAGCGAUGCGUUGAGCUAACCGGUACUAAUGAACCGUGAGGCUUAACCUU
rnacentral:rRNA from 1 species